AUUGUGGUCUUCCAAAAUGCAGAGUUGUUGGGGAAGGGUUCAGGGCUGAUUGCAAAGAAGACAAAAGUAUUCUCUGAGGCAGUGGAAGAGAAGUAAAAGAGGCCAGAUUUAAUAUCUUUUGGAUACAUUUGUGCUCAAUGUGUUACAGAGAAAUGUGAUGAAGGAAGGGUGAGGGAUCGUUAUUAAGUGACAUAGAGCCAAACAUUGAAGUUCCAGAUGGCAGCUGCAGGAGGCAGAUCUAGCAGCUGUGACGCAGGUUGACUGGCUGGUUUUGGGCACCUCGCUUUGCUAUAAAGCUGAAUGAGGCAGUAGAGGGAAACAGCCUGCGAUUUGUCUUGCCAACUACAGUCUCAGCUUCAAGGAGCUGAAUGAUUUGCUGAGGAUAUUAAUUUCAAAAGCCAGACAGCAAGAGAUCAGCUGAGAUGAAAGAUCACUGCAAAGUGACCUCACACCAGGGGAAAAGAAGAGGGUGUGGUUAAGAGCAGGAAUUUAGUGCUGCAUAGUCUAGCAGUGAACCACAGCAGAUGCAUUUUGAUACCAAAGGUGAUCUUCAUGUGACUAUGGUCACGGUCUGUGGAGAGAAGGGGAGCAUAAUUCACCUGGCUUAUUUUAGAUAUCGACAUCGGGAUGUGGUAAAUUAAUACCCUAGGCUCACAGGUUUAUAAAACUUGGUCAGAAUUUCUGCAAUUAGAUGCUUCACUUCCAGGGUCCACAGAGUUGGUGAAGUGUAGGUGUGUACAAACCUAAAAUGAGCCACCACCUGCCUUAUCUAUAUGUAAUCAUGAGCAUGUCUGAUCACUACACCUGUGACAUUAGAUUUCAUGACAGUGGAAAUUGUAGCUAAGUAGAGACAGCAUAUAAUGAGAACUAGUUGAUCGGGACCUUUGUCAACAAUAAACACAGUAAACUAAAUUUCUUUGAUCUUUAAAAUAAUUUUCAGUCAUGAGAAGUUAAUAAGAAUUUCAAAGCUUUUCUCCAUGAAAUGGUCACUGUUGAAAUCAGUUUUGAAUUUGUGUAGCUAAACUGUUAUACAUCCCUGAACAGAUAAAUUAAAAUUAGUUUAAUCCUAUUGUACUUUGGCUUUAGCUUAGUUUGGCAGUCUAGCACUGCAAGUAAUACUGCUUUCACUUAGGGAUUGUCACUGCUUCACUUUAAUAAAUUAAUUAGCAAGACAUAAAGUGAGUGAAUCUGAGGGGCUUUGAGAGCUGUGGGCUAGAUCUUCCCCAGAGAACUAAAACCACUGGUAGGUGGGUGCCACUUCUCAGUGUAACACAGCAUUAAUGAAGAGGUUGUCAUGAAGCUUGUUUAGGUGGCAUAUUCCUUGAGUCUGCUUAUCUAUGCUCAGAGAAGGAGGUAGGCAGAAGGAAAAGCAUGACCCAGUGUUAACAAGGACCUCCAUCUUUGAUCCAUUCCACACUACUUCAUCUAUCAUCUGCCAGAAGAAAAAAAAACAAAGACUAACUACAUUCGUUUGACUGAAGCGUUGAUUUGGCCAAGAAACAAGGCUUUGUCACAUCCAAACGAAAUGAAAACAAAAAUCUGUAAUCGGCAUAGCCAUCAUGGUUACUGAGUCAGACUCUACAGGGCUAAACACAGGCAAUUCCUGAGCUGGAUACUUGAGGAUCCCUGGACGACUGUAUUUUCAGCUGAUAAGGCUCAGUCAGUACUGAAGAGGAAGCUGGCCAAUGGAGCCUAUCCUCUGAAAAGCUAGAAGUCUGGGUGCACCUGAUCCUCAUCAGCUGUCAGUGAACUUUUUGGAAAUGGCUCUUUUGUCUCCUCCACCAUGGUGAUGAUAUACCUCCAAUAAAGCUAAUUCGGACAAGGUGUUAAGCUUUUUGACAGGUAAUAUAGAAGAAAGGAUCAUCUUGCUCACUGGUUAAGGUUCUAUCUUUUUAUGGCACCAUUACCUGCAUCAGUACUCCAACCUCUGCAAUUCAGGUACCAUCUGCAGGCCUGUUGUUGAGAAGUGAUGCUAAGCAAUUUCUGGCCAUCAGGAAUCUUCUCUCUUUCCGUCCCACACACACCCUUGGAAAUGAGGCAUGAUUUUGCUGUUCAGAGAGAAGGAUGCCUUUGUAAGGAUCUUUUUCCAUGUAGUGAUAGUAGUCAGCAGUCUCUUGAUUUUUCUCUAUGGCCAAACACUUCAUCCCAUGUUAUUCCCUCUUUAAAAUGGGAGAAGUGAUGUCCCAGUAAUGCCACAGAGGUAAAUACACUACAUCUUGAGAUUUGUUUUUGUUCUACAUGAUGAAGUCUAUG